rnacentral:rRNA from 1 species
GACGAAGGGUGCGAACGUUGUUCGGAAUCACUGGGCUUAAAGGGCGCGUAGGCGGGCCCGCAAGUCAGGGGUGAAAUCCCACGGCUCAACCGUGGAAGUGCCUUUGAUACUGUGGGUCUUGAGGGAGGUAGGGGCGUGCGGAACUUCCGGUGGAGCGGUGAAAUGCGUAGAUAUCGGAAGGAACACCGGUGGCGAAAGCGGCGCGCUGGACCUCUUCUGACGCUGAGGCGCGAAAGCCAGGGGAGCAAACGGG